CGAUUCUGGCUCAGGAUGAACGCUAGCUACAGGCUUAACACAUGCAAGUCGAGGGGCAGCAUUAUCGAAGCUUGCUUUGAUAGAUGGCGACCGGCGCACGGGUGAGUAACGCGUAUCCAACCUUCCCAUCACUCAGGGAUAGCCCGCCGAAAGGCGAAUUAAUACCUGAUGGUCUCCUUUGCAGACAUCUAACGAGGAGUAAAGAUUCAUUGGUGAUGGAUGGGGAUGCGUCUGAUUAGGUAGUAGGCGGGGUAACGGCCCACCUAGCCGACGAUCAGUAGGGGUUCUGAGAGGAAGGUCCCCCACAUUGGAACUGAGACACGGUCCAAACUCCUACGGGAGGCAGCAGUGAGGAAUAUUGGUCAAUGGACGGAAGUCUGAACCAGCCAAGUAGCGUGCCAGGAUGACGGCCCUAUGGGUUGUAAACUGCUUUUGUGCGGGAAUAAAGUAUGGGACGUGUCCCAUUUUGCAUGUACCGCACGAAUAAGGACCGGCUAAUUCCGUGCCAGCCGCCGC
rnacentral:rRNA from 1 species